AUUGAACGCUGGCGGCAUGCUUUACACAUGCAAGUCGAACGGUAACAGGCCUUCGGGUGCUGACGAGUGGCGAACGGGUGAGUAAUGCAUCGGAACGUACCCAGAGGUGGGGGAUAACGCAGCGAAAGCUGUGCUAAUACCGCAUGUGAUCUGAGGAUGAAAGCGGGGGACCGAGCAGCAAUGUUUGGCCUCGCGCCUUUGGAGCGGCCGAUGUCGGAUUAGCUAGUUGGUGGGGUAAAGGCCUACCAAGGCGACGAUCCGUAGCUGGUCUGAGAGGACGACCAGCCACACUGGGACUGAGACACGGCCCAGACUCCUACGGGAGGCAGCAGUGGGGAAUUUUGGACAAUGGGCGCAAGCCUGAUUCAGCAAUGCCGCGUGCGGGAAGAAGGCCUUCGGGUUGUAAACCGCUUUUGGCAGGAACGAAACGGUGUCCGCUAAUACCGGGCGCUAAUGACGGUACCUGCAGAAUAAGCACCGGCUAACUACGUG
rnacentral:rRNA from 1 species